AAUUUUUAGUCCACAUAGUGGAAAGCCUCUGUACACCCCUUUCCUUCCUGCCAGACAAGCUGGGACAGCAGUGCUGGGAGUUUCUCUGAUGUCUGAUAACACCUCAGUGCACGUCUGAGGUGCCUUUCAGCUCGGGCUGCCUCAGCUGUCACCCACACACUGCUCUGCAGGGAGAUAACUCCUGCAUGCUCCUGUUUGUCCCCCCUCUGCUGCUGUAAGUCACACUUCAGGCUUGCAUUGAUUCUCCAACAUAUUGAGGAGACCAGGGGCAGGGGUGCAGCAGAGCAAGCUGCCUCCAGUUACACAGCCAUGAAGUGACACCUGCCAGCCUCUCACGCAGCAUCUGAUCACCAAUUAAAGGGAUGAUUUAUGGGCUGAGGAGAGGAUGCCCUUCCUGUCUCGAAGGCUGUUUGGGGAAGUCACCAAUUCGCAGGCAGCAAGGAGAACCUGGGUUCUCUUGGCAAACUCAGCUUUGGCUGCAGACUUCGCUCAUCAGCUCAUUAGUGACAAGUGUGGGCUGGAUCAGCAUCCACUGCUCAUCUCUAAGAUGUGCAGCAGAAACCUUUGGUGUGUAAACAGCCUGGCAAGAAAUCAGCAAGAGAAUGGGUUGGGAAGAGGAGGAAAAUUACUUCAGAUGAUACCAGCAAACCCUGCCAAGAUCAGUUUUCCUCCUUUGGGAUUAUUUGAUGCAUCACUCUGAAAACUCAAGCAGAAAAGACACGAGAAAAAAUAUGGAAAUUAGAAGCUGGAGGGUACCAGGCUCUUCUGGUGUUCUACCAGUUCUUUGGUGAAUAACAAGAAACUCACUGAGCUUCUUGUGAGAUUUGCCACCUCUCAGGCUUUGUGCUCUUAAUCCAUUUGGUAGCCUUUAGGACACUGUUUCUCUUUUCAAAUGGAGAAUUAAUUUAUUUUUUUAACAAAACAAAAAUAUUAAAUUUCCACCACAAUUUUAAUGUACAGCUGCACAGAAAUAAGACCAAACCUCUGAGCCUCAUUAAUUUUUUUCCUCCCCAUUUUACUUGUUGAAAGCACAUGGAAGUGCAUUUUUAUUUCUCAGUUCAAAUGCUUUUUGCCAUCAGUUCAUGCACCAUGUCCAGGUGUUGUGCAGACCACAGGAUGAAAAAUAGUUCUUCAGAGAUCGUGCCAUGAGAGAGCAAAUGUGAUAAACAGAAGUGGGAAAGUUCCUGAAUGACCUCUAGUCAACCCUUUUGCUUUCCAGUAGGGUCAGGAAGAUCAAUGCUUUUGAAGACAUGAACUUGCCUGGUCUGUUUUUAAAAGCCUCCAGUGAUGGUGAUUUCACAUUCUCCCCAGGCACAGCAGAAAGAGCUCUGAGAGCUCAGCUACCUUGAAAAUUGAGGCUGAGCAAGGCAGAGUUUUCUUUCCAUCCAUGAAGACCUUGGAAAAGCAGAAAAGCAAGCAGGAAAAGCCCAGAGAGAGCCAUUAAUGACUCCUGUGGGAAGGCAGCAGCUGGCAGCCACCUCAGCCUCAGCAUGUGGAGAUGAAUUGCAGGUGCUUCCAUCCCAUAAGUCUAUGAAGUUUCCUUUCACUUUAAUAUUUAUGGGAAGCCACUCUAACAUAUCAAAGGUGUGCUCAUCUUUACUCCAUUACUCAUGAGAGAGAUAACUCAAUACGUCAAAGAUGCCCUGAUCAAGGGGCAAUUUCUCUUCUCCCCAUGCCAAAUGCAGACCAGGUGUAAAUGGAUGCAUCUCCAUGAAAAUUGUAUCUUUUCAUGCUGGCACUGAGCAGAGCCCUCUUGCUCAGUCUACUGGAACAUUUCCCAGAUCCAGUGUCAGCUCCUCAGCUCAAUCCAGUGCACAUCACAUGGCCCUUUUCUUUAAGCAGCCCUACAGAAAGAACAGACUGGAAUCGUGCUUUCAUGCCUUAGUACUUUGUUUAAGAGCAUGAAAUUGUCUCUUGGUGAGAAAGAUGGAGGCUUUCAAGCUGGCAAAGAAGAGACAUUUUUAAGCACUUUAACCCAGAGGGAUGUAAUAGCUGCUGAGGCUGGGAUUCAUCUCCCUUCCCUUCAGAAGUGGAGCAGGGAGAGGGCUGGGAUAAUCACCCCAAUCUCUCUUCAGGCUGGGGCUGUGGGUGCCUCCUGAGAGGAUUCCACUGACCCAGAUUAGAGCCUCUUCUGGAGAGGGAAAUUAGGCACCUUCCAGGGGAGCCUUCUGCUGCUGGCUGCAGAGGCAGCCUGGUGUGACCACAUCAGCCUCAGAGGCUGAACACCUAGAUGUUUAAAUUAAGGAAAUGAGUCUCCCUCUGCUUGGCAUACAGGAUUCCAGAAGUUUAAAUCCCUAUGCAUUGAGAGCAGUUUAUGAAAUUCGGCUUCAACCUUGAAUUAAGUUCUGAGAAAUAAAAAAUGGGGGGAAAUAUCCUUGUGAAGCCAUUUUAUUUCAACAUUUUAAAAAAUGGAGAAAUUCUGGGGUGCUCCCAGCCCCAAAAGUUGCUUUGGAAUUCCCAGGGAAAUUCCAUGCACAAGCCAGGCUUAGGGAAGGUAACCAGAAAAAACAACAAUCUUUGGAAAUAAAAUUGCAUAGGGCAUAGAAAACGAGCAAUGAAGCUUCAAAAAGUCUUUUUUAUUUUUCUUCCUUUUUUGCAUCUCAGAGAUCUCAGAAUUCGUCUGGCUUCAUCAUUAUCUGUCAUACUUAGGAAGGUUUAGUAUGGGUUUUCAUUGACCUUUAGGGUUUUGUUGUUGCUGUUGUUGUUUUGGGGUUUUUUUUAAUGUUUGGUUUUUUUUGUUUUUGUUUCCUUGACUUAUUACACUCCCCUCUUUCUGUACUCCUGCAUCUCCAAGUAAAUCCAAGAGAGCUUUAUUAUUUAUAGAGCAGCAUAAAUAUCUCUGGUGCUUUACACCCCAGUACAAAUGCAUUAUCUGCCCACAAAGUGUUCUCAGUUUCCAGAAGAUACCAAAGCCUGUAGCACAGGUGGAGGAAUGGGAACAUCACCAGGGCAUGGGGAUGGUGAGGUCACCACCACCAACCCUUCUGUGGGAGAGGAUGAUUGCCUUGUGGUGUCCCUGCCCAUGGCAGGGGUUUGGAAUGAGGUUGGCCUUAAGGUCUCUUCCAGCCCAAACCAUUCUGGGAUUCUGUGAUCUUCUCUAAAGGAAGGACUGUAGAUUUUAUAGCUUUCAGUAUGAAAAGCAAAGAAAGAAAGAGAAGCUGAGGACCAGUGAUCAUUUUAUCAUAGAAUUAUAAAAUUCUAGAAUGGUUUGGGUUUGAAGAAAGCUUAAAAUUUAUCUUUUUCCCAA